rnacentral:rRNA from 1 species
UACGGAGGGGGCUAGCGUUGUUCGGAAUUACUGGGCGUAAAGCGCACGUAGGUGGCUUUGUAAGUUAGAGGUGAAAGCCCGGGGCUCAACUCCGGAGGGUCGGUGGAUACUGCCAGUCUUGAAGGUGCUAGGGGGAGAUGGAAUUACCGGUGUAGCGGUGAAAUGCGUAGAUAUCGGUAGGAACACCAGUGGCGAAGGCGGUCUCCUGGGGCAUUCCUGACGCUGAUGCGCGAAAGCUGGGGGAGCAAACGGG